UUCAAGAUGGCCAAGCGGUCAAUGGCGCUGCGUUCAUGUUGCAGUCCACUUGUGUGGGCUUGGGUUAGAAUCCCACUUCUGACA